AUCACCCCCGCCCGGUCUUCUCCACCCGACCCCGCUCCGCCCUGGCCCACUGGCAGCCCCUGGCCCUCCAUGUACCUCUUUUGCCUGGCCGAGCGGCCGACGGAGGCUCAGUGGUCCUCCGUGCGUCCCAGAACUUCGCCCGCGGGGAGCAGAGAAGCCGCCUGGAGCUGGAGCUGCAGAGCCGCGAGCAGGACCUGGAACGCGCGGGCCUGCGGCAGCGGGAGUUAGAACAGCAGCUGCACGCCCGGGCUGCGGAGCACCUGGAGGCGCAGGCCCAGAACUCCCAGCUGUGGCGGGCGCACGAGGCGCUGCGAACGCAGCUGGAGGGGGCGCAGGAGCAGAUCCGCAGGCUGGAGAGCGAAGCGCGAGGCCGCCAGGAGCAAACCCAACGAGACGUGGUUGCCGUCUCCAGGAACAUGCAGAAAGAGAAAGUCAGCCUGCUACGGCAACUGGAGCUGCUCAGGGAGCUGAAUACACGGCUGCGGGAUGACAGGGACGCCUGCGAGGCCAGGCGGGAGGGCAGCAGCUGCAGGAAGGCUCUGACAACAGCCCGCCUGCCUGGGCCCACCUGCUGCUGCUGCUGUUGCUGGGCUCGGCCCCCCAGACGCUGCUCUGGCCACCUUCCCAGUGCCCGGUGACCAGCCCCGAGUGACUCACGGACCAUGAGCUAGAAGCUGCCCUUGCAGGAGGCUUGUCAUGGGUGGGGGGU
rnacentral:sRNA from 1 species